UACGGAGGAUCCAAGCGUUAUCCGGAUUUAUUGGGUUUAAAGGGUGCGUAGGCGGUUUUAUAAGUUAGAGGUGAAAAUUCGGGGCUCAACUCCGGACGUGCCUCUAAUACUGUAUGACUAGAGAAUAGAUGCGGUAGGCGGAAUGUAUGGUGUAGCGGUGAAAUGCGUAGAGAUCAUACAGAACACCGAUUGCGAAGGCAGCUUACCAAACUAUAUCUGACGUUGAGGCACGAAAGCGUG
rnacentral:rRNA from 1 species